ACCCUCUGGUUCUCUUUCCCAUGGGAUCUGAACACUGAUUUUGGUGGUUGUAAAGGAGGAAAAGUAAUACUGAAGCUGGCCUCACAGUGCUUGUAGUCUGUGGGCUAGUUUCAAACAAGG
ensembl:snoRNA small nucleolar RNA SNORA61